GACGAACGCUGGCGGCGUGCUUAACACAUGCAAGUCGAGCGGUAAGGCCCUUUCGGGGGUACACGAGCGGCGAACGGGUGAGUAACACGUGGGUGACCUGCCCUUAGCUCUGGGAUAAGCCUGGGAAACUGGGUCUAAUACCGGAUAUGACUCCAUGACGCAUGUUGUGGGGUGGAAAGCCUUGUGCGGCUAGGGAUGGGCCCGCGGCCUAUCAGCUUGUUGGUGGGGUGAUGGCCACCAAGGCGACGACGGGUAGCCGGCCUGAGAGGGCGACCGGCCACACUGGGACUGAGACACGGCCCAGACUCCUACGGGAGGCAGCAGUGGGGAAUCUUGCGCAAUGGGCG
rnacentral:rRNA from 1 species